rnacentral:rRNA from 1 species
UGGGGAAUAUUGCACAAUGGGCGAAAGCCUGAUGCAGCAACGCCGCGUGAGGGACGACGGCCUUCGGGUUGUAAACCUCUUUUAGUAGGGAAGAAGGGAACUUGUUCUUGACGGUACCAGCAGAAAAAGCACCGGCUAACUACGUGCCAGCAGCCGCGGUAAUACGUAGGGUGCAAGCGUUGUCCGGAAUUAUUGGGCGUAAAGAGCUCGUAGGCGGUUUGUCGCGUCUGCUGUGAAAUCCCGAGGCUCAACCUCGGGCCUGCAGUGGGUACGGGCAGACUAGAGUGCGGUAGGGGAGAUUGGAAUUCCUGGUGUAGCGGUGGAAUGCGCAGAUAUCAGGAGGAACACCGAUGGCGAAGGCAGAUCUCUGGGCCGUAACUGACGCUGAGGAGCGAAAGCAUGGGGAGCGAACAGGAUUAGAUACCCCCGUAGUCC